UGCUUUAUAAACGUUGGUCAGUAGUCUUAAAUAGAGGUAACACUUUGUCAAGCUUGUGAAUUUGUCAUAGUGGACAUACUUGCCUACCUGGUUUUGCUGAUAAACUGAAGGGAUUUUUUAUUAUAUAUAUAAAAAGAUACAGGUGCCCUUUGUGCUUGCAUAUUCAUAACUUGCUGCAAAUUGGUAAUGUUUUAGCUACAAACAUUUCCAAGACCUAGAACAGUUUGCAGUGGGCUUCCGGAAAUAUUUGAUGGACACUACCCUAACAAACUACAGCUUCAGAAUCUAAUCACUGUGGAAAAAAAUUUCCUAUGAAGCUGCAGAAAGCUUUCAACUUCACUGGCAGAGUUGAAUCUGCAAACAAUCCGUUUGUAUUGUGAAGCGGUUAGCUCUCAAAGAAAACUGUUAAUCACUUCGCAAAGCCCAGUAGACUUAGUGCCCAUCCUUUCAUGAAUCAUUUGAUCAGCCAAAGCCAUUUUCUUCCAACAUUCAACGUGAUGCAGCUGCUCAUUAUCAAGUAAAAUACCUUGAGAGAAAGAGGAAAAGCGUAACAGAGGUUUAGAUUGAAUUUAAAAUGAUUCCUGUUAGUUUCAGUCCUUUACUCCUUUUGAGGCACGCAAAAGGUGUAUUCUGGGGUGGAACAAAUAUACAUGUAAUUAGAAAUGUAGGAACUGUUAGAGACUCAAAUUCGUUUUGUACUCCUGUCUGUCUUUAUAUAUAUAUGCAUGUAUAUAAAAGUACAGACUCAGUCCAUUAAAUCUUCACCGUCUUUGCCAUAUUGUACUUUCAGGUACAAGACAGGCAUAAAUAUUUAAAGAUAUUCUAGCAUUAAUUUUAAGGUUUGCGAAGUACUUGAGAGAUUUCUGGGGCUAUCAAUCUAUGCCUAAUAUAAAGUAUCAUGAAAAACUCUUGUACCUGCAGUUAUGAAUAUGCACUCAUAAUAAGUAUAUGGUCAAGAGAGCAAGAUAGGCAGGCAUAUUUCUUGAACAGAGGCAGAGGAGGGAAAAAUACUGAAGUGGACUCUUCUCUCCCUUGAGGACCUCACAUUUCAUGUGUAUGUAUUUCUUCGCCCUAUUAGCAUUCCUGAGCCAUGAAAGCCUUUUUUUCUCUUCCUUUAUUAUAACUAAAAUUCUCCCCUGGAGAAUAUAGUGGGAGGACUGCAGUUGGUUAACUCCAAUUAUUUCUAGGACGGAGGCGAUGCAGGUGAAAUAGCAAGGACCUAUUUGGAAGAUGAAGUGACCGGCCUGAAAUCACAAAGCAAAGUCAAUGGUCUUUGGAGUUCGCCAAGAAUGCCAUAACUGCUCAUUCUCUGGCAGCCCGGUCCUAAGGGUCCAUUUUCACCCCGGCAAUGCAAACACAGUAGCUUCCCUUGCAGCAGUUUAAGUGAUGCCCUGUGCUUUGUAAAUGGAGUUGAAGUAUCAAGCUACAGAGUAUGCAAAUCUCUUGGUCCUGAAGGGUCCAAGCGACUCUCAUAAUGACACAUAUCUUCAUCUCUGCUUCAUAUUCCUAAGGGUGUAGUUUAGGCAAUUUCAGACUCUGGCCUUAAUGGUCUUCAGAGCGGGGAGGGAGCAUAUUUUUAAGAUGGUAUUGUGUACUAUUUCCAUUUGGUGGUGGCUGGUGCCCAUUGGGAAUGGUAAGGCAGAAGGGAGGAAAGUCAAUGGAGCCAGAGCCAAUUCGUUCUCAUUUUGCCCCCGUUCUCUUUCGGUGCUGAGUUUGACAAAGGAAAAACAGGCUAAGGAAGAGGAAGCAGAGAGCCCAAGCCACCACUGUCCUGGAAUGGAUGGAAAUAAUGGAGGCAAGUGGGCUUGAGGGAACCAAGACCGUGUUUCAUGGGGCAGUGCCUAAUGGACCAGCUUCCUGCUUCACAGGAAGUAAGCAGUAAGCCAGUCUGUUGCAUUUAGGGGGCUGUUAAAGGGGCUUCACAGUCACAUAUAUGACACCCCAGAAGCAAGGGAAUAUGUCAUCAUUUAUGUAAAUAUACAUCCAGCUGAUGGAUAAUGGGAAGGUGAAAAAAAAGUACUGUAAAUUGAAUAUAAGGAAUGAAAUAUGAAUUAGAAAUAAAUAUGAUAUCAAGCAGCAACAGGGGAAAGUAGGGACACAUCUGGAACCAAGAGUGGGAAGUCAACUUUUCUGAAAAACUUGUAUUAAAUUGAUAUGAUUUGGCACUGAUUUAUUAAUUUUUUUGAAAACUAAUAAAUAUGAUUUGGC